AGUUUAAAGUAAAUAUUUUAAAUGAAUCCUGCCCAGUGUAAAAUUAUAAAUGGCCGCAGUACCCUGACUGUGCAAAGGUAGCAUAAUCAAUUGGCUUUUAAUUGAAGUCUGGAAUGAAUGGAAUUUUGAAAGAAUACUGUCUUAAAAAUAUUUUAUUGAAUUUAAUUAUUAGGUGAAAAUACCUAUUUUAAAGAAAAAAGACGAGAAGACCCUUAGAAUUUUAAUAAUAUUAUAUAAUUAAUUUAUUUUUGUUGGGGCGACAAUUAAACAUAUAUUAAACCUUAUAUUUUUAAAAUAAAACGAAAUUGUUAUAAAAGAAUAAAUUACCUUAGGGAUAACAGCAUAAUUUUAAAAAAGUUUGUGACCUCGAUGUUGGACUAGGAACUUUAUGACUAGCAGUUAAAAUAGAUUUGUUCUGUUCGAACAAUUUAAUCCU
rnacentral:rRNA from 1 species